AAAAGUAAAGGGCCCCGGGGGGCCGUCUAAAAAAACCCGUAGCCAGAAGGCGUCCCCCCCCUUUCCCGGGGGAAGGGCGCCCGAACGGUGAACCCCUUGUGAAAACCCUUGUUGCUUCGGCAGCGCCUCCCAGCCUCACGGCGGGGAGGGUCAGCCUGCCGGCGGCACAAUUUAAAAAACCCUUCAUGAAAUGUAGUUUUUAAAACGUCUGAGAGCGCAGUCGAAUGACACUUA
rnacentral:misc_RNA from 1 species